GACGAACGCUGGCGGCGUGCCUAAUACAUGCAAGUUGAGCGCUGAAGGUUGGUACUUGUACCAACUGGAUGAGCAGCGAACGGGUGAGUAACGCGUGGGGAAUCUGCCUUUGAGCGGGGGACAACAUUUGGAAACGAAUGCUAAUACCGCAUAAAAACUUUAAACACAAGUUUUAAGUUUGAAAGAUGCAAUUGCAUCACUCAAAGAUGAUCCCGCGUUGUAUUAGCUAGUUGGUGAGGUAAAGGCUCACCAAGGCGAUGAUACAUAGCCGACCUGAGAGGGUGAGUGGCCGCAGUGAGACUGAGACACGACCCAAACGCCUCAGGGAGGCAGAAGUAGGGAAUCUUCGGGCAGGGAAGAAAGACCGACCGAGGAAAGCAGCGUGAGUGAAGAAGGUUGUCGGAUCGUAAAACACGGUUGUUAGCGAAGAGCGUUGGUGAGAGUGGAAAGCUCCUCAAGUGACGGUAACUAACCAGAAAGGGACGGCUACCUACGUG
rnacentral:rRNA from 1 species